GCGCUGUACUUUAAGUAAAAGGUAUGGUUUGCGUCCAUAAAAUGUAGAAAAUUUUACCGGUGCUAU
rnacentral:tRNA from 1 species